UACGUAGGGUGCGAGCGUUAAUCGGAAUUACUGGGCGUAAAGCGUGCGCAGGCGGUCUGUUAAGACCGAUGUGAAAUCCCCGGGCUUAACCUGGGAACUGCAUUUGUGACUGCAUCGCUGGAGUGCGGCAGAGGGGGAUGGAAUUCCGCGUGUAGCAGUGAAAUGCGUAGAUAUGCGGAGGAACACCGAUGGCGAAGGCAAUCCCCCUGGGCCUGCACUGACGCUCAUGCACGAAAGCGUGGGGAGCAAACAGG
rnacentral:rRNA from 1 species